rnacentral:rRNA from 1 species
UACGUAGGGACCGAGCGUUGUCCGGAAUCAUUGGGCGUAAAGAGCGCGUAGGCGGCCCGGUAAGUCCGCUGUGAAAGUCAAAGGCUCAACCUUUGAAUGUCAGCGGAUACUGCCGGGCUAGAAUCCCGGAAGAGGCGAGUGGAACUCCUGGUGUAGCGGUGGAAUGCGCAGAUAUCAGGAAGAACACCAACGGCGAAGGCAGCUCGCUGGGACGGAACUGACGCUGAGGCGCGAAAGCGUGGGGAGCGAACAGG